GCACCCGUAGCUCAAUGGAUAGAGCAGCGGUCUUCGGAACCGAAGGUUGGGGGUUCGACUCCCUCCGGGUGUACCA
rnacentral:tRNA from 15 species